AUGAAGUCUCCACCGAGGCGGACGCAAGGUGAAGAAGGGGCUUCCGGGAGCUCGCGCCUCGCCCCGCCGAUCCCGGGCCCCCUGCGACCGGAAACAAGCCCAACCCGCCACGCCGCCGGGGAAUUCUGGGCCACGGCGGGAGGGCUUGUGACCGCACGAGGAGGAAACAGUCUUUUAAAAAAUAAAAACGUGACAACCAAACGGGACGGUUUGGUGCUAACUUCCUCUUGGACCAGUCACAAUCUAAUGACCACCUUUGUAAUCACACCUUACAUGCGCUUGUGUGACUUGUUCUCUGGCGUUUUGGCGCUUACUCAUUGCCACCUGCUGGAGAAGAAAAGAAGUGCAGUUGAACGCUUGCUGCCAGAUCAAACCUGUUCCUCCUCGAAGCUUUGGAAAGAAAUCAAAUCACUCUCAAAGAAGCGCCCUAACUGCUCCAGGUGAGGCAACUGGAGUGAUGCGUGGUGUGGCCCGGAGAAAAGUGGGUUCUAUGACCUUUCCAUGCUUAUUGUGCACCUGCAUUGCAUCCCUUUACUCCAAUUUGAUUUUUAAAAA
rnacentral:lncRNA from 1 species